rnacentral:lncRNA from 1 species
GUAAAUAAUUACAUCUCAUGAAUUUGUUCCCCUUGUAGGUUGAAUUCAAAGUUUAUAUUCAAUUUGGUUAUUUUUGCUCUAAUUAACAGUUUUAAUAUUUUUGCUUGUUUCUGCAUUCUUGUUUCCUUUGUUAACUCGUCCUUGUACAUGGUAGAAAAAUAGUAACUGAGCUAUCCCCAGCCUUUUUAUUUUAAAAAACUGCAUUUAUGUACUUUUGUGAACAUGGGGGUGGGGCAGUCCUUAGGAAUUGGCUCUUCAACGUGGACUGGCAGACUUGGCAUCAAAGCACAGCUAAGCUCUGAGCCAUCAAUUUUUUUUUUUUUUUUCCCUCAUGACAGGGUUUCUUUGUAUAGCCCUGGCUGUCAUGGAACUUGCUCUGUGAACCAGGCUGGCCUUGAACUCUCAGAGAUGCAACUGCCUCUGCCUCCUGAGUGCUAGGAUUAAAGGCAUGUGCCGCCACCUCCUGAGCCAUUUUGGUGCCAUAUUUUUGAAGCAGGAUCUUAACUGUGUAGAACAGGCUGCCAUUGAAUGUAAGGUAGUAGUGAUUCUGUAUUAGCCUUGAAAGUACUGGGAUUACAGAUGCCAGCCAUCACGAUACCCUAAAUUUAAGAAUAUAUGCAUCUUUUGUGAUAGGUGACCUGAUUUGUGCGUGCGUGCGUAUACAUCUGUGUUUUUUUUUUUUUUUCUUUUGUUUGAGACAUGGCUUCUCUGUAUAACAGUCCUGGCUGUCGUGGAACUCACUCUGUAGACAGGCUUCCCUGAACUCACAGAGACCUUCCCUGCCUCUGCUUUCCCUCCUGAGUCCUGGCAUUAAAGGGUGUGGUACCACAUUUCUUUAUUUCUUUUUCCAAUUUUUGGGGGGUAGGGGGAGACCUGUAUUUUUAAAAAGGCAUUUCUGAUGUUAGGGUUUAUACAUUACAUUAGGUCUGUGCUUCAGGAAAUAUUUUUUUACCUUAACUUAUUAAUUAUUUGUGUUUGCAAAUUUGAAUUGGAAGGUGAGAGGACAACUUGAGUAGGCGUCUUUCACCUUGUGAAAGAUUUAAAAUUUUUAUGGGAAUGAGUGUUGUGCUUGUAUGUAUGUAUUUGCACUGUGUGCAUGCCUAGUGUACUCAUGUCAUAGGAGGUUGUUGAUUCUCUGGAACUGGAGUUAAAGAUGGUUGUGAGUCAUCAUUUGGGUAAUGGGAACCAAAGGCUAUUUUCUCUGAAAGCAGUAAGUACCUUAACUACUGAACCACCUCUUCAGCCACAAGAAUUAAAUGGUUGAUGUGUACCAGUAAUCAUAAUCCUUUUAAUUCAGAUUAUCAAGGUGGUUUUAAAAUAUAUGCUUUAUGUUUGUGUAUUUUUCUCUUUUGAGAUAGUUUCCUUAGUCCUUAGUUAUCAACCAUCAUGUCUACUUUUAUGAUUUAUUUUAAAGCAGCUUUCUUUUUUUAAAAAAAUAUUUAUUUUAUUUGGAUUGGUGUUUUCAGGCAAGUAUACCUGAGUAAGGGUAAGGGUGUCAGACUUGUAGUUGCAGACAGAUGUUAGCUGCCAGGUGGGUGGGUGCUGGAAAUUGAACACAGGUCCUCUGGAAUAGUACUCAGUGCUCUUAACCACUGAGCCAUCUCUCCAGCCCCUUAAAGCAGUUUUCUUAAGAAACGCUAAUUAAUGUCUUUGUUUACUUGUUUUCUUGGGACUUAGGCUGGACAGAGGUUACCAGGAAGAACCUUUUGCUUACCACAGUACACAAAUACCUCUCACUAUCCUAUCUUUCUAAACAUUCUCUAGAGUUCACUGUUCUUAGAUUUUAAUGUUUAAGUGUUCAAGGGAUUAAGAAGCAACAAAGUGUUCUUGACUUUUACUGUCAAAGGGCCAGCAUUGUAUGCUUAUAUUCCCUAAAGUUUAAUUUUUGGUCUCAAAGUACAUUUUAGAAUGUGUGAGAUAGGUAGGAAUUUGACUAAACUGAACUGGACCCUCAUCCCAUUUUGAAGGGUGACAAAAAUACUACAUACUACUACUUCCUCAAUUUUGGGUAGAUUUCAUCAGUGUUAAUAAUUUCACUCUGAUGUAAAGUGAGAUCAAAGACCCUUUUUUGGUGGUUUCAAAACCUAAACAUUUCUUGGACUGGUGUGUGACUUAAUCAUAAACGUACUACUAAGGCACUAUGAGGGAUUUCUCUUAGAAAUCUUUGAAACACUUUUUUUUUAAAAAACCAAGAUUUCUUAAUCAUUUUCUACCCCUUUAGCCCUAAAUCACUUUAUUGUUUACUUUUUAUGAUACUAAUUUGAACCGGGGACCUUGUUUGCUAGGGAGCCUUCUGCACUGUCCAGCAUCUCUUGCCCUGAGUAAAUUUAGUUUUCUCCUGUGUUAAGAUUUGACGUUGCUCAAAAACCCUCUUCUGUUAAGGUAGAUUACACUAGAGGAAGUUUAACAAUUUUAAGAUUAUUGCUAUGCUCUGUUUUCUUAUGAAGGUAUUUAGUAUCUACUUUAAUAGUAACUUUUAAACAGAUUCUUGCUAUAUCUUGAUUAUGCUUUACAAAAAUGAAUUUAGAUUUGAUAAACAGGGCACUUGCAAACAAUUCCUAGGAAGUUAGUUUGAUAGCUUAGUUUAAGUAUUAAACUAGGUUUUUUUUGUUUGCUUUUUUUUAAAUCUUAAAUUGCUACAAUUCCAUAUUAAGCUUUUAAAAAGUUUUAUGUGUUUGUAGAUCAGAGAAAACUUGUGUAAGUAAAUUCUCUUUUUCAUAGGAAUUCCUAUCAGCUUCCUUGUCAGCAAGCAUUUUUACCUGGUGAGCCAACUCACUGUCUCUUUUUGGUGGAGACAUAGUCUCCUAUAUCUAACCCAAGCCAUGAUCUUUCUGGUUCAACUCCCUGAGUCCUGAGAUGACAGUAACUUUCAAACAGUAGUUUUGCAUAUUUUUAUUUAUUUUUGUUAACAUAUGAGGGUCUCCCAUAUGUUAAGUGCUAUAGCACUUAGUUAUACCUCUUAAUAGGUUUUCUGCCUGUCCCCCAGUAAUGUUUCUCUACAGACUCAGUAAGCCAGAUCAAGCCAAAUUGGAAAAGUAUAACAUCAGGUAUAUUGAGCAAGGCAGCUAUCAAGCAGGUUCACGACGCCUGAGAAGUCAUACCCCCAAACUAAAGUGGAGAUUUUAUAGGUUAUAGGCAAGGGGUGAUGACAUGGCCACCAUAAGCUGGGUUUGUGUCCAAGUAUGGUCAAAGGCCAAGCACUUAGGCAGGCAGGAAUUUGAGCUGCUGGCAACUUCAGCGGAGGAAACUGUUAAUAGCUGCCAAGAAUGCAGAACUGGGCUUUUUGGCACCUUUCCUUUGUUAGGAGACUCUAUGCAGCAGGGUUUAGGACCAGGCUUGUAGAGCCCAGAGGCUCCAGCAGAACAGCUGUCUUAUUUUGUGAUUUUUGUAAUCAUAUAAAACCAAGACAAAUGAAAACCCAUCCUUAUUUCAGAAAGUAUUUGAGAUAUGAGUAUUUCCCAUAUUUAGUUAUGAGGAAUUUAUGUCAGUAACUUAAUGAGAAGUCCUGAUAAAUCAACUGCAUAUAUAAGAAUUAGUGUUAGUGUUGGAGAAAUGGCUUGGCAUUUAAGAGCCUGUAUCUUGGAGGGGACCUAGUGUGGUUUUCAGCACUUAUGCUUCUUGUAACUCCAGCUCCAGAAUAUCCAGUGCCCUCUUCUGGACUUGUACAGAUGUGCACACAAACACACACACACACACACACACACACAGACAUAGAAAGUUUUCAAAAUAAGUCUGUUAAUCAAAUAGUAUAGUUGAUAGUAAUUUGAAAUGAUGGCUAAGGUAACAUUUUAUUUAGAAAUAUGUACAUGAUUAUAUUAUGUUGUUUCUAGCAUAUGAUAAACAUUUUGAAGUAAUAUGGUAAUAGGGAUAAAAUGAUAUUGGAGAUAAGUAGUAAAGCUUUUCUUUGAAAGACUUAAAAGUUAAUUAGACGGGAGGCCAGAAUAUGGAUUAAUUCUGUACUGUUAACUUGUAUUCUCUCUAUCUUCAACUCUGGAUAUUCACGAAGGACCUCAAUAAAUACUCCUUUUGGAGUUCUUGGACUGAGACCUAGGCUUGUAAUUUUAGCAACUUGUUCUAGAAGUUGGCUUCUGUACUACCACAUUUAAAAUCUUGUCACAAUUAAUUAUAAAUGGAUUAAUCCAUUUAUAAACUGUAUUUCUUGGUCUGUUGGUUCCUUAGACAGUAUUGCAGUUGUGAUACAGUCAUAGGAUUUAAUAAAAUCUAUUCUGUCUUUUGCAGAAAUGUGGAUCUCCAGAUGGAAUGAAAGACCUAUACCAUAGACAUUGUUGAAUCAUUUAGUAUACAACAUUCUGCUUUUAUGUAUAUCUGCACACCAGAAGAGGGCACCAGUACUCAUAACAGAUGGUUGUGAGCCACCAUGUGGUUGCUGGGAAUUGAACUCAGGACCUCUGGAAGAACAGCCAGUGCUCUUAACCUCUGAGCCAUCUUGCCAGCAUGGCAUCCAGUCAGCUUGAAGUUUCAAAUGGACCUUACCACUGAGAAAUCAAGAUGGCAGCCCACUAUGGGGAAUUGAGGAAAAUGGAUUAAUGCAAGAAUGCUGUGAUAUUAUACAACCAACACAGGGUUCUUUUAUGUGGAUUCAGGAAAUGAACGAUUGUUGCCCAACACAAAUGGACAGUGGGAUUUACUUUCUAAAGACUUGUUACAUAUCAUCUACAAUUUAACAUCUGAAGAUGAUGCUACGUUUAUUCAAAUGGUAGUUUGUAUUCCUGGAAUUUCUUACAAUUUUGAUAUGAGUGACCUCAUGGAAUGUUAACUUCAAUAAAAAAUUUAAAACUUAAAGAUUUCUCAGUUUGGCCCUUUUUUAAUUUUUUUUUUUUAAAGUGGAAGCUUUCAUUCAGUGUUCAUUUCCCCUCAACAUUUUGACCUUUAUA